AGAUGUACGCCAUGGAACUGCCACUUGGCAACUUCCAACUCUCAUCAUCGGGCUCUCACAAAGAUCCUCACACUUUAUCUCUUGUUAAAGGCCAGCUAGUACUUAAAAGAACCCCAGUAGAUUGCUUCUUUCAACAGCUUUUGAAGUCGAUAAAAAAAGAAUGUGUCAAAAUGUCUGACAACACCAACCACCAAGAGACAGAUGAAACUGCAGAUACAAGCCAGUGUUAUACAUCACUAAGCAGGCAUGCUUUGAGAGCAUGUGUGUCUGGGGAACUCAGCUUGCUGUAA
rnacentral:lncRNA from 1 species